AUCACUUGGGGAUAACCUUGCGAAAGUAAGACUAAUACCCAAUGAUAUCUCUAGAAGACAUCUGAAGGAGAUUAAAGAUUUAUCGGUGAUGGAUGGGGAUGCGUCUGAUUAGCUUGUUGGCGGGGUAACGGCCCACCAAGGCGACGAUUAGUAGGGGUUCUGAGAGGAAGGUCCCCCACAUUGGAACUGAGACACGGUCCAAACUCCUACGGGAGGCAGCAGAGAGGAAUAUUGGUCAAUGGACGAGAGUCUGAACCAGCCAAGUAGCGUGCAGGAUGACGGCCCUAUGGGUUGUAAACUGCUUUUAUAAGGGAAUAAAGUGAGCUACGUGUAGCUUUUUGCAUGUACCUUAUGAAUAAGGACCGGCUAAUUCCGUGCCAGCAGCCGCGGUAAUACGGAAGGUCCGGGCGUUAUCCGGAUUUAUUGGGUUUAAAGGGAGCGUAGGCCGGAGAUUAAGCGUGUUGUGAAAUGUAGACGCUCAACGUCUGCACUGCAGCGCGAACUGGUUUCCUUGAGUACGCACAAAGUGGGCGGAAUUCGUGGUGUAGCGGUGAAAUGCUUAGAUAUCACGAAGAACUCCGAUUGCGAAGGCAGCUCACUGGAGCGCAACUGACGCUGAAGCUCGAAAGUGCGUCA
rnacentral:rRNA from 1 species